rnacentral:rRNA from 1 species
UACGGAGGGGGCGAGCGUUAUUCGGAAUUAUUGGGCGUAAAGGGCGCGUAGGCGGCGCAGCAAGUCAAAGGUGAAAACCCUCGGCUCAACUGAGGAACUGCCUUUGAAACUGCUGGGCUUGAGUCCGGGAGGGGGUAGCGGAAUUCCCAGUGUAGCGGUGAAAUGCGUAGAUAUUGGGAGGAACACCAGUGGCGAAGGCGGCUACCUGGACCGGAACUGACGCUGAUGCGCGAAAGCGUGGGUAGCAAACAGG